AUUGAACGCUGGCGGAAUGCUUUACACAUGCAAGUCGAACGGCAGCACGGGUGCUUGCACCUGGUGGCGAGUGGCGAACGGGUGAGUAAUACAUCGGAACGUACCCUGACGUGGGGGAUAACGUAGCGAAAGUUACGCUAAUACCGCAUACGUCCUGAGGGAGAAAGCAGGGGAUCGUAAGACCUCGCGCGUUAGGAGCGGUCGAUGGCGGAUUAGCUAGUUGGUAGGGUAAAGGCCUACCAAGGCGACGAUCCGUAGCGGGUCUGAGAGGACGACCCGCCACACUGGAACUGAGACACGGUCCAGACUCCUACGGGAGGCAGCAGUGGGGAAUUUUGGACAAUGGGCGAAAGCCUGAUCCAGCCAUUCCGCGUGAGUGAAGAAGGCCUUCGGGUUGUAAAGCUCUUUCGGCAGGGAAGAAACGGUUUUGGAUAAUACCCAGAACUAAUGACGGUACCUGAAGAAGAAGCACCGGCUAACUACGUGCCAGCCGCCGCAGUAA
rnacentral:rRNA from 1 species